CCUACGGGAGGCAGCAGUGGGGAAUUUUGGACAAUGGGGGCAACCCUGAUCCAGCAAUGCCGCGUGAGUGAAGAAGGCCCUCGGGUUGUAAAGCUCUUUUGUCAGGGAAGAAACGGUGGUUCCUAAUACGAGCUGCUAAUGACGGUACCUGAAGAAUAAGCACCGGCUAACUACGUGCCAGCAGCCGCGGUAAUACGUAGGGUGCAAGCGUUAAUCGGAAUUACUGGGCGUAAAGCGUGCGCAGGCGGUUAUAUAAGACAGAGGUGAAAUCCCCGGGCUCAACCUGGGAACUGCCUUUGUGACUGUAUGACUAGAGUGUGUCAGAGGGGGGUAGAAUUCCACGUGUAGCAGUGAAAUGCGUAGAUAUGUGGAGGAAUACCGAUGGCGAAGGCAGCCCCCUGGGAUAACACUGACGCUCAUGCACGAAAGCGUGGGGAGCAAACAGGAUUAGAUACCCUGGUAGUCCACGCCCUAAACGAUGUCUACUAGUUGUCGGGACUUAAUUGUCUUGGUAACGCAGCUAACGCGUGAAGUAGACCGCCUGGGGAGUACGGUCGCAAGAUUAAAACUCAAAUGAAUUGACGGCUGAGAGNGCGAGACGACGACGAGGAGAGG
rnacentral:rRNA from 1 species